rnacentral:sRNA from 1 species
GCCAGGCAUGGUGGCAUAUGCCUCUAAUCCCAGCUACCGGGGAGGCUGAGGCAGGAGGAUCGCAAGUUGGUGUCUAGCCUGGGCAACUCCGCUAGACCCUGUCUCAA